AACGAACGCUGGCGGCAUGCCUAACACAUGCAAGUCGAACGGGUGUAGCAAUACAUCAGUGGCGCACGGGAUAGUAACGCGUGGGAAUCUGCCUCGUAGUUCGGAAUAACACCCGGAAACUGGUGCUAAUACCGAAUACGCCCUUCGGGGGAAAGUUUUUCGCUAUGAGAGGAGCCCGUGUUGGAUUAGCUAGUCGGUGAGGUAACGGCUCACCAAGGCGACGAUCCAUAGCUGGUCUGAGAGGACGAUCAGCAUCACUGGGACUGAGACACGGCCCAGACUCCUACGGGAGGCAGCAGUGGGGAAUAUUGGACAAUGGGGGAAACCCUGAUCCAGCAAUGCCGCGUGAGUGAUGAAGGUCUUCGGAUUGUAAAGCUCUUUUGGCAGGGACGAUGAUGACGGUACCUGCAGAAUAAGCUCCGGCUAACUUCGUGCCAGCCGCCGCGGUAACAC
rnacentral:rRNA from 1 species